rnacentral:hammerhead_ribozyme from 1 species
AUCUAACUAACGAGUCCCCAACGGGACGAAAUGCACAUCCUAUAU